CUAUUACUCCCUCCGUCCAACAAAGGAUGUCUCAAAUUUGACUAAAUUUGAAUGCAUCUAUACACUAAGUCAUGUCUAGAUACAUCCAAAUUUCGACAAACUUGAGACAUCUUUUGUUGGACGGAGGGAGUAGAUG
rnacentral:pre_miRNA from 1 species